AGCGAACGCUGGCGGCAGGCUUAACACAUGCAAGUCGAACGCCCCGCAAGGGGAGUGGCAGACGGGUGAGUAACACGUGGGAACGUGCCCUAAGGUUCGGAAUAUUCCCGGGAGACUGGGAGCAAUACCGAAUGUGUCCGUAAGGAGAAAGAUUUAUCGCCUUAGGAUCGGCCCGCGUCAGAUUAGGUAGUUGGCGGGGUAAUGGCCUGCCAAGCCGACGAUCUGUAGCUGUUCUGAGAGGAAGAUCAGCCACACUGGGACUGAGACACGGCCCAGACUCCUACGGGAGGCAGCAGUGGGGAAUCUUGGACAAUGGGCGCAAGCCUGAUCCAGCCAUGCCGCGUGAGUGAUGAAGGCCUUAGGGUUGUAAAACUCUUUCAGCGGGGACGAUAAUGACGGUACCCGCAGAAGAAGCCCCGGCUAACUUCGUGCCAGCCGCCGCGGUAAAAC
rnacentral:rRNA from 1 species